AAGAUUUUUAAAUUUCAAUAUCGCUGUAUCUAAAUUGUCAUUCGUACUUCUUUGAUAAACCUCGGUUAGUUUCGCCGGGGUUUUU
rnacentral:ncRNA from 1 species